CUCGGCUACGGAGACAUGUACCCUCAGACGACCUUUGGCAUGCUGGUUGGAGCCCUGUGCGCCCUGGCAGGUGUGCUGACCAUCGCCAUGCCAGUACCAGUAAUUGUCAACAAC
rfam:Poecilia formosa, whole genome shotgun sequence.